rnacentral:miRNA from 1 species
CUGUCCACCUGAGCCCUCCUCC